UACGUAGGGUGCAAGCGUUGUCCGGAAUUAUUGGGCGUAAAGAGCUCGUAGGCGGUUUGUCGCGUCGAAUGUGAAAAACCCUGGGCUCAACCCCGGGCCUGCAUUCGAUACGGGCAGACUAGAGUUCGGUAGGGGAGUCUGGAAUUCCUGGUGUAGCGGUGAAAUGCGCAGAUAUCAGGAGGAACACCGGUGGCGAAGGCGGGACUCUGGGCCGAUACUGACGCUGAGGAGCGAAAGCGUGGGGGAGCAAACAGG
rnacentral:rRNA from 1 species